rnacentral:tRNA from 1 species
GUUCCGGUAGCUCAGCUGGAUAGAGCAACGGCCUUCUAAGCCGUAGGUCGGGAGUUCGAACCUCUUCCGGAACGCCA